CCCAGCGUAGCUCAAUGGGAGAGCGCCUGACGGAGACGCGGGUUCGAUUCCCGUCGUUGCGG
rnacentral:tRNA from 1 species